rnacentral:rRNA from 1 species
GAGGAUAAGCUCGAAAAUUGCCGUUGAGAACUGUAUAAUUAAAAAUUAUUAUGUGGGCCUAAAAUUAGCCAUCACAAAAGUUUGUUAUAAAAUAGUAAAAACACAUGAAAAUAUUUCUAUACACGAUACCACGCUAAGCUAUAAGAAUAAUAAUUUAAACCAAUAAAUUAAUAUACCUAUGCUAGGAUGAGUAUUAAAAUUGCUAUAAGAAAAAUUAAAGAUUUUCUUAGAAAUUGUUUCUAAUGCUAAUUAAAGACAAGGAACUCGGCAAAUGUUGUUCCGCCUGUUUAUCAAAAACAUGGCUCUUUGAAAAAAGCAUAUAAAGAGUCGAACCUGCCCAGUGAAGUUUUAAACGGCCGCGGUACCCUGACCGUGCAAAGGUAGCAUAAUCACUUGCCUUAUAAUUGAAGGCUGGCAUGAAUGGUCUGACGAGAGCUACACUGUCUCCUCUUUAUUAUCUAGAAAUUAACCUAUAGGUGAAGAGGCCUAUAUUAUAUUGAAGGACAAGAAGACCCUGUCGAGCUUAAAAGUAAAGUAAGAAUUAGCUAUAGAAGGAAAUCAAUAAAUUACAUAACUUUUUAGUUGGGGCGACUAAGGAACAAAUAAAGCUUCUUUUAUUUUUAUAGAUUAACAGAUCUUGAUCCAGCUAACGCUGAUUAGAGGAAUUAGUUACCGCAGGGAUAACAGCAUAAUCUCCUUUGAGAGACCUAAUCGAAAGGGGGGGUUGUGACCUCGAUGUUGGACUAGAAUAUCCUGAAGAUGCA